rnacentral:rRNA from 1 species
GACGAAGGGGGCUAGCGUUGUUCGGAAUUACUGGGCGUAAAGCGUGUGUAGGUGGUUGUCAUGUCGGAUGUGAAAGCCCUUGGCUCAACUGAGGAAGUGCAUCCGAAACUGGCAAGCUAGAGUACUAAAGAGGAUCGCGGAAUUCCCGGUGUAGAGGUGAAAUUCGUAGAUAUCGGGAGGAACACCGGUGGCGAAGGCGGCGAUCUGGGUAGAUACUGACGCUGAGGUGCGAAAGCGUGGGGAGCAAACAGG